AUUGAACGCUGGCGGCAGGCCUAACACAUGCAAGUCGAACGGUAACAGGAAGCAGCUUGCUGCUUUGCUGACGAGUGGCGGACGGGUGAGUAAUGUCUGGGAAACUGCCCGAUGGAGGGGGAUAACUACUGGAAACGGUAGCUAAUACCGCAUAACGUCGCAAGACCAAAGAGGGGGACUUUAGGGCCUCUUGCCAUCGGCUGUGCCCAGAUGGGAUUAGCGAGUAGGUGGGGUAACGGCUCACCUAGGCGACGAUCCAUAGCUGGUCUGAGAGGAUGACCAGCCACACUGGAACUGAGACACGGUCCAGACUCCUACGGGAGGCAGCAGUGGGGAAUAUUGCACAAUGGGCGCAAGCCUGAUGCAGCCAUGCCGCGUGUAUGAAGAAGGCCUUCGGGUUGUAAAGUACUUUCAGCGGGGAGGAAGGAAGUAAAGUUAAUCCCUUCGCUCAUUGACGUUACCCGCAGAAGAAGCACCGGCUAACUCCGUG
rnacentral:rRNA from 1 species